GAUGAACGCUAGCUACAGGCUUAACACAUGCAAGUCGAGGGGCAGCAUGGUCUUAGCUUGCUAAGGCCGAUGGCGACCGGCGCACGGGUGAGUAACACGUAUCCAACCUGCCGCCUACUCUUGGACAGCCUUCUGAAAGGAAGAUUAAUACAAGAUGGCAUCAUGAGUUCACAUGUUCACAUGAUUAAAGGUAUUCCGGUAGACGAUGGGGAUGCGUUCCAUUAGAUAGUAGGCGGGGUAACGGCCCACCUAGUCUUCGAUGGAUAGGGGUUCUGAGAGGAAGGUCCCCCACAUUGGAACUGAGACACGGUCCAAACUCCUACGGAGGGCAGCAGUGAGGAAUAUUGGUCAAUGGGCGAGAGCCUGAACCAGCCAAGUAGCGGGAAGUAUGACUGCCCUAUGGGUUGUAAACUUCGUUUAUAAGGGAAUAAAGUCGGGUAUGUAUACCCGUUUGCAUGUACUUUAUGAAUAAGGAUCGGCUAACUCCGUG
rnacentral:rRNA from 1 species